rnacentral:rRNA from 1 species
UACGGAGGGUGCAAGCGUUAUCCGGAUUCACUGGGUUUAAAGGGUGCGUAGGAGGGCAGGUAAGUCAGUGGUGAAAUCCCCGAGCUUAACUUGGGAACUGCCGUUGAUACUAUCUGUCUUGAAUAUUGUGGAGGUGAGCGGAAUAUGUCAUGUAGCGGUGAAAUGCUUAGAUAUCUGGAGGAAUACCGGUGGCGAAGGCGGCAUCCUGGACCGACAUUGACGCUGAGGAGCGAAAGCUAGGGGAGCAAACGGG